rnacentral:lncRNA from 1 species
UGAGCAUUUAGAUCAAAGGGAUAAAUUAUACGGUAACCAUACGUCAGUAGGUUCUAGAAGGUUGCUUUGCAAUACUUUGAUCUAUCCGGUUGUUGGGUCAUCAUUGCUAGAUGGUUACAUCAAUUGGUAUAGAAAGUUAUUUCUAUACUACCGACUUAGGUUCGGACCUAUGAGAUUACAUGUAUUAGAAGAUUUGAUC